rnacentral:rRNA from 1 species
GACGAACGCUGGCGGCGUGCUUAACACAUGCAAGUCGAACGGAAAGGCCCUGCUUUUGUGGGGUGCUCGAGUGGCGAACGGGUGAGUAACAGGUGAGUAACCUGCCCUUGACUUUGGGAUAACUUCAGGAAACUGGGGCUAAUACCGGAUAGGAGCUCCUGCUGAAUGGUGGGGGUUGGAAAGUUUCGGCGGUUGGGGAUGGACUCGCGGCUUAUCAGCUUGUUGGUGGGGUAGUGGCUUACCAAGGCUUUGACGGGUAGCCGGCCUGAGAGGGUGACCGGCCACAUUGGGACUGAGAUACGGCCCAGACUCCUACGGGAGGCAGCAGUGGGGAAUAUUGCACAAUGGGCGGAAGCCUGAUGCAGCAACGCCGCGUGCGGGAUGACGGCCUUCGGGUUGUAAACCGCUUUCGCCUGUGACGAAGCGUGAGUGACGGUAAUGGGUAAAGAAGCACCGGCUAACUACGUG